rnacentral:rRNA from 1 species
GACGAACGCUGGCGGCGUGCUUAACACAUGCAAGUCGAACGGAAAGGCCCUGCUUUUGUGGGGUGCUCGAGUGGCGAACGGGUGAGUAACACGUGAGUAACCCGCCCUAGACUUUGGGAUAACUUCAGGAAACUGGGGCUAAUACCGGAUAGGAGCUCCUGCUGCAUGGUGGGGGUUGGAAAGUUUCGGCGGUUGGGGAUGGACUCGCGGCUUAUCAGCUUGUUGGUGGGGUAGUGGCUUACCAAGGCUUUGACGGGUAGCCGGCCUGAGAGGGUGACCGGCCACAUUGGGACUGAGAUACGGCCCAGACUCCUACGGGAGGCAGCAGUGGGGAAUAUUGCACAAUGGGCGGAAGCCUGAUGCAGCAACGCCGCGUGCGGGAUGACGGCCUUCGGGUUGUAAACCGCUUUCGCCUGUGACGAAGCGUGAGUGACGGUAAUGGGUAAAGAAGCACCGGCUAACUACGUG